UGGAUUAUGUGGUUUAAUUCGAAGCAACGCGAAGGAACCUUACCAGGUCUUGACAUCCGACUAACGAGAUAGAGAUAUGUCAGGUGCCCUUCGGGGAAAGUCGAGACAGGUGGUGCAUGGUUGUCGUCAGCUCGUGUCGUGAGAUGUUGGGUUAAGUCCCGCAACGAGCGCAACCCCUGCCAUUAGUUGCUACGCAAGAGCACUCUAAUGGGACCGCUACCGACAAGGUGGAGGAAGGUGGGGACGACGUCAAAUCAUCAUGCCCCUUAUGACCUGGGCUACACACGUAAUACAAUGGCCGUUAACAGAGGGAAGCAAAGCGGUGACGCAGAGCAAAACCCUAAAAACGGUCCCAGUUCGGACUGUAGGCUGCAACCCGCCUACACGAAGUUGGAAUUGCUAGUAAUCGCGGAUCAGCAUGCCGCGGUGAAUAAGUUCCCGGGCCUUGUACACACCACC
rnacentral:rRNA from 2 species